CGGGGUGCAGCAGGCGCGAAAACUUCACACUGGGGGGAACCCCGAUGAGGGAAAUCCUAGUGCUAGGACAUUUGUUCUAGCUUUUCUCAAGCGUAGAUAACUUGAGGAAUAAGGGCUGGGUAAGACGGGUGCCAGCCGCCGCGGUAAUACCUGCAGCCCAAGUGGUGGUCGAUUUUAUUGAGUCUAAAACGUUCGUAGCCGGUUUGGUAAAUCUUUGGGUAAAUCGGGAAGCUUAACUUUCCGACUUCCGAAGAGACUGUCAAACUUGGGACCGGGAGAGGCUAGAGGUACUUCUGGGGUAGGGGUAAAAUCCUGUAAUCCUAGAAGGACCACCGGUGGCGAAGGCGUCUAGCUAGAACGGAUCCGACGGUGAGGGACGAAGCCCUGGGUCGCAAACGGGAUUAGAUACCCCGGUAGUCCAGGGUGUAAACGUUGCAGACUUGGUGGUUGGAGGCCCUUCGGGGGCAUUCAGUGCCGGAGAGAAGUUGUUAAGGUCUGCUACUUGGGGAGUACGUCCGCAAGGAUGAAACUUAAAGGAAUUGGCGGGGGAGCAC
rnacentral:rRNA from 1 species